CAGCUCAUCUGGUAUAAA
rnacentral:miRNA from 1 species